AUUUUAUUUAUCUUGAGCUCAAUAUAGUACACAUCAAUUUUUGUACAACAAAUAAAAAAUACAAUAAAAGAUGAUUCACAACAAAAACAACAAUAUACCGGUAGUUAGCAGUAAUAAAAACUAAUUUCAACCUACGUAACAAAGUAACUUUUCUCCUUGUUAGUUGUAUUUCAAUAGCUGCCAUUUACAAACUUGAUAUAAUAUAAGGAACAUUAAAAUUGCAUUUGUAGAAAAAAAUAGCACUAGUGGUUUGAUUGGAAAUAUUUGAAUUUUUUGUCAAAAGUUCAGACUCCUUUGUUUUUUCCCUAUGAUACAGAGUACAAAUAUAUUUUGCUACAUCACAUCAAUUUUUCUUUUCAAAUAAGACUUCAGCAGCUCAUUAAAGGUCAUUUACCAAAAUUUAAGCAGAUUUUGAUUUCUUUUCUUUCAAUUUAAGACCCAACCAAUACCAAUGCAAAUAUAAGGUAAAAGAUAAAGUUUGCCUUUUGCUGUCAUUUUCAAAAAGUCAGAUAUUUCGAAAG
rnacentral:lncRNA from 1 species